ACGCUCGACACCUACGGGAGGCAGUAGUGGGGAAUAUUGCACAAUGGGGGAAACCCUGAUGCAGCGACGCCGCGUGAGCGAAGAAGUAUUUCGGUAUGUAAAGCUCUAUCAGCAGGGAAGAAACUGACGGUACCUGACUAAGAAGCACCGGCUAAAUACGUACCAGCAGCCGCGGUAAUCUGAGCGGGCUGGCAAGGC
rnacentral:rRNA from 1 species